rnacentral:lncRNA from 1 species
AAAGCUUUCCAUAUCAGGAAUUUUUCAUAAAAUCAAAGUUGAACUCAAUAUAGAAUCAAAAUGCGGAAACCAGCCCUAAACAUUGGGGUGACACUAGUCAUAAGCGUCUAAGUAUUUAAAACUAUUAUAGUCAAUGUCUAAAUAUCAGUACAAAAUGGAAGGAAAUAUGGAAGGAGUAACAAGGUCCUGCGGACGCUGGCAGCUACCUUGCAGUCUCUGAAACUCAACCAGGCCUGGACUCAACAAUCUUCGUGCUCAGACACACCUCGAUCUGCACAUGUAGUGCAGGGUGUAGUAUGAGUACAACCAACUCAGCAAGUAACAGAAAUAAAUAAGGAACUGAGAAGCAGUGACGAGCUAUACAGUACAGUUCAUUUUAAAAGUUUUCAUUAAAGAGUGAACAUGCUUUCAAAUCCUAUGGUAUAAGUCAAAUCAGUUCGCGCUCAUGUAAAACAGAUAUGAAUCUUCCAGAAAUUUCAUAACAUCAGAUAACAACUAAGUGCAACAAUAAAUAAAAGCAAGUACAGCCUCUCAAGGCAGCAGUCACUCAACCCAUCUCAACAGCUCACACUCUCGGCUCUCAGCCCUCAAUACACACUCCCAAUAGGUACCUGCGCUCACUGUGGGUGUUCAGACUCAUGAGGGCCUCCUACAUCCCAAGUGCUAUAAUCCGCACGGACAACUCACGUGCUAUAAUAUCAUAUCUUGAUUCGCACGGAUAACUCACGUGAUGCACGGACAACUCACGUGACAUAGUAUAAACAUAAGGAUCUGCACGGAUAACUAACGUGUCAUAGAACAAUACCUCAGAACCAGACCCUCGGCCUUACUCAGUCAUGAACCUCUCUAGUCUCAUAGCUCUCAAUAAAGAAAGGAAAAACAGCCCAAAUCAAAGUGUUACACUAUAUCAUCAGAAAAAAUAGCAGAGACUGAGGUAAACAUGUACAAGAAACACUAUGACUGAAUAUAACUACCAGAAGCAGGAAUAUAGCCUAAGCAUGAUUUCUAACAUGAAAGGCAGUCAAGUUCUAGUAGACAGGAAUGCAUAUGAAUACAAAUAAAGGCCAUUAGACUUCACAGUCUCCCGAGACGGACCAAGUCUCGAUCCCUCACGGUGUACAUCCACACGCCCGUCACCUAGCAUGGGUGUCACCUCCAAACAGUCACAUUAUACCAAACUCCGGGUUUCAUACCCUCAAGACCAGAUUUAAAACUGUUACUUAUCUCAACAACGUAGAACUCCUACUCCAGAAUGCUCUUUCCUCUCGAACCGACCUCCAAAUGACCCGAAUCUAGACACAAGCAAUAAAAUACGAUCAAUAUGAGCUAAAGGAAUUAAUCCCACAAGGAAAAUACCAAUUUAUAGGCCAAAUCCUGAAAUUCACUCAAACCCUACUCCCGAGCCCACGUCUCGAAAUCCAACAAAAGUCACAAAACCAAAAAGCCAAUUCACUCCCGAGUUUACCCAUACUAAAUUCAUUAAAAUCCGACCUCAUUUGGUCCCUCAAAUCCCCAAAUUACUCUCUCUAAAAUCUCAAGCCCUAACCCCGUAUUUCACUCCAAAAAUCCUACUAAUUAGGUGAGAAGUUAACGGAAAAAUACCAUAGCUAAUGAUAAUAGAGCUCCAGUAACUUACCUCAGUGAAUACACUUGAAUCCCUUCAAAAGUCACUCCAAGAGCUCCAAAAAUCGACUUGAAAGUGGUGGAAAUGAACCAAAAUUCGCGAAGUAUUCAAUUUAUAGUUUCUGCCCAGGUUUUUCGCACCUGCGGCUAAAUAUGCGCACCUGCAGUGCCGCAUAUGCUCAAGAACCUCCGCACCUGCGAAAAAUCAAUAAAACCCCCAACCUCGCACCUGCGCUUCAUAUCCGCAUCUGCGACCACGCAGGUGCGGAAAAAACCUCGUACCUGCGGCCACUGCCUGACCUCUCACUUCCGCUUCUGCGGGCACCUAUCCGUAUCUGCGGACUCGCAGAUGCAACCUCUCCUACGCACCUGCGGACCCAGCCUACCUCAACACUGUCCGCACCUGCGAACUCCCACGCGCGCCUGCGACCUCGCACCUGCAGCUCCCCCUCCGCAGGUGCGAAAUACCAGUAACAGCAGCUGCUGCUUUAUUUUUCAAUUUCAAACAAUCCAUUAACCACCCGGACUCACUCCGAGCCCCUCGGGACCUCGACCAAACAUACCAACAAGUCAUAUAUCAACAUAUAAAUUUAGUCGAACCUUCGAAACACUCAAAACUACAUCAAAAUACCAAAUUACCCUCGGAUUCAAGUCUAAGAACUUCUAAACUUCCAAAUUCGACAACCGAUGCUGAAACUAACUAAACCAUGUCCGAAUGACCUCAAAUUUUACACACACGUAAAAAAUGAUAUCACGAACCUACUCCAACCUUCAAAAAUCCAUUCCGACCCCGAUAUCAAAUUUUCCGCAGCCGACCGAAAUCGUCAAAUUUUCAACUUUCGUCAAUUCAAACCUAAUUUCACUACGGACCUCCAAAUCACAUUCCGGACGCGCUCUUAGGUCCAAAAUCACCUAACAAAGCUAAUGGAACCAUCAUAAUUUAAAUCUGAGAUCGUUUACAUAUAAGUCAAUAUGUGAUUGAUCUUUCCAACUUAAGCUUCUACUUUAGAGACUAAGUGUCCCAAUCCACUCCGGACCCGAACUAACUAACCUGAUAUAUCAUAAUACAGCUGAAAAGCACAAAAGGAAAUAGAAAUGGGGAAAACGGGACUAUAACUCUCGAAACAACCGGCCGGGUCAUUACAGUUGCAGAGUAGUUUUUACCAUCCAUCAAUUGCUCAAUAAAAGGUCGCAUAUCUCCAUCAUCAUCUUGUUCAAUUACCAGUCGGUUGCGCCUCUAGGUUGCAUAGUUCCUUUUCCAAGAUGAAGAAAUUAUCUAGCUUCAUUACUUUAUACUAGUACCAGAAUAGCUCCAACAGACUAGUAGGUCAUAUGCAAAAUAGGAGAAAGCAUCUUCCUCAUCUCAAACUGUUAAAAACAAAUAAAUAGCGAUCUAUGUACACACACACAAAGUCUUGCGACACACAUCCUCAUCAUAUGACGGCAUAAUACCAUUAACUACAAGAUGAUCAUAUGUUGUAGCCUGAUUUACUUGAUGAAUAAGCACACAUUUCAUACAAGGACAUGUAAUUUUUUCUCCGCCUUGUUUUCCAGAAAAGGCAUAGUUCAUAAAAUCUUCUACUCCGUCCAAGUAUUCUUUACUAUAUCACAAUACAUCCAUUUUUUUUUUCUAGGAAUGUCAUGUUUUUUCCCUGAAAUUACUGUAAGAACUAAAAAUAAUUAGUAAAAGGGAGGAGAAUUCUUAGUGAAUUAAGAAACAUGGAAGAAGCAGACAAAAUAAGAGAUAAAGUUACUCUACAAAAGCAAAUCAAUAUCUGUAGUGUAUGCCAUCUUUUUUUCUAGCACCAAUGGGUAUAAGUUCAUGAUUUAAUUUAAAUAGCUUUAAGGAUUAGAGAAUCAUGAUCUAACACCUAUUUCUCAUGAACUCCAUCCUAACCGAUCUUUUUACACACAAACACGUUGAUCCAGAUUCAUCAUAUAACAAAGACAGAAUAACUACUACUUUCAAAAAAGACAUUUCUAUUCUAAUAACUGAUAUAAAAUCUCCAUAAAAAUACAACUUUCACUACUUAAAAAUCAAAGAAGAUUAAAGUAUUACCAAAUCCAAAAGACGACUUGAACUUGGUAUAAUUUCAAGGCGAUCAUCAUUAAGAAUGAAGUUUACUAUGAUGAAAUCAACAAGAAAGAGUUCCUUCAUAGCAAAGAUUUUUAAAUUGCUAGUAGUGGAUGUUCACGUAGAAUAAUCACACAACUUCAAUAAUGAGACUCGGUCUAUCUAGCCAGAAGAAAUAGUUCUGAGAAUGAACACAAAGUGCAGCAAAAUAUUCCACGAGCAUAAACAACUACCAACAUUAUAAUUCAAAACAUAAACUUUUCUCCACCCUUAACAUUCAAUCUGCCAAGCUAGCUAAUUGAAUUGAUCCAGCAAAUACAAUUUCAACCAUACCGAGAGAUUUUAAAUUCAAAAUUAUAGUCUCCCUAAAACAAGAACACCACAAUUAAUUAUAAGAACUGUCUUAAGUUAUCUUAUUUAAAUCAAUUCAAUUAUAUUAUAGCAAAAUAAAAAAGAUUAGGAAGAUAUUUGAGAAAUAGGAUGAUCUUAGUAGCUAUCAUGAAUGACAGUCCGAGGAGACGAAAUUUUCAUCAUCUGACUUAAUAAACACAUAUGUAAAAACAUAGAGCAAAAGCUAUUUAAUGGCAAUCAACACAUUCUUAACAAACAAGACCUUGUAGAAAGCACUAAAGUCUGCUAUGUUUUUAAGCACAAAGAAUAACAAAACAAUAAAACAUGAGAUAUAGCGAAGAAAGGUGUUUAUAAGGGAAAAAAUUGAGUUGGGCUUUUAGGUAUUAAGUCAAAAAGGUUCAAUAUUUCUGUUGUCAUAUGCAUUGAACCCUAAAUUCUAAAAGAUAGAGAUAGAAAUAGAAAAUGUAUAAAGAGAAAUUGAAAAAUAUUGAAUUAGAAAUAAAGAGAUUAAUCAAAACCGUACCUACAACCUACGAAGAAUU